GAGGGUGAGAGCCCCUCACAUCGAAAGUCUAAGGUUUCCUGGGCCAUGGUGAUCAUCCCAGGGUUAGUCGGUCCUAAGGCGAGGCUGAAAAGCGUAGUCGAUGGACAUAGGGUUAAUAUUCCCUAACUGCUUGCAUAUUCGAAGGAGUGACGCAUUCUUGUACCUUUCGCCCCUUAUUGGAUUGGGGUCGGGGUCUUGAGGACGUCGUACAGGCAAAUCCGUACGGCAAUAGUCCGAGAGGCAGCGCGAAGCCGGUAGUGAUACCGGUGAAGGAAAGAGAGCAGAGUGCCAGGAAAAUCUUCUAAGUUAUGUAUGCAAGCAUCCGUACCGCAAACCGACACAGGUGGACUGGGCGAGUAGCCUAAGAUGAACGGGAGAGCAUUCGUUAAGGAACUCGGCAAAAAAGCUAGGCGUAAGUUCGCAAUAUGCCUUGCCUGCUCGUAAAAGAGCAGGCCGCAGCGAAAGUAUUUCAACCAACUGUUUACCAAAAACACAGGUCUCUGCAAACCCGCGAGGGGAAGUAUAGGGGCUGACGCCUGACCAGUGCUGGAACGUUAACGGGAGCGGUGCAAGCCAAUCCCCGAAGCGCCAGUGAACGUCGGCGAUAACUAUAAUCGUCCUAAGGUAGCGAAAUUCCUUGUCAGGUAAGUUCUGACCCGCAUGAAAGGCGUAAUGAGUUGAAAACUGUCUCAACGAAUAUCCCGGUGAAAUUGCAAUAACGGUAAAGAUGCCGUUGACCUACAGCAAGACGAAAAGACCCCAUGGAGCUUUACUACAACUUGGUAUUGAAAUAGAGUUUUUGCUGCCGAGCAUAGGUGGGAGACUAUGAAGCUGCGCUUCCGGGCGCAGUGGAGUCAUCACUGGAAUACCACCCUGCAGAGAUUCUAUUUCUAACCCGUCGCCGUAAUCCGGCGAGGGGACAGUGCCUGGUGGGUAGUUUGACUGGGGCGGUCGCCUCCUAAAAAGCAACGGAGGCGUUUACUAAGGUUGGCUAGAUCCGGAUGGAAAUCGGAUUGAUAGUGCAAACGCAAAAGCCAGCUUUACUGAAAGACCGAUUAGUCAAUCAGUCACGAAAGUGGAAGUUAGUGAACCGACCAUCACUCGUAGGAGUGUGGAAGAUCAUCAGAUAAAAGUUACCCUGGGGAUAACAGGCUGAUCCUGCCCAAGAGUCCAUAUCGACGGCAGGGUUUGGCACCUCGAUGUCGGCCCAUCGCAUCCUGGAGCUGGAGAAGGUUCCAAGGGUUUGGCUGUUCGCCAAUUAAAGCGGUACGCGAGCUGGGUUCAAACCGUCGUGAGACAGGUUGGUCUCCUAUCUGCUGUAGGCGUGUGUUGUUUGAGGGAACUCUUUCCUAGUACGAGAGGACCGGAAAGAACGAACCUCUGGUGUACGAGCUGUCCUGCCAAGGGCACUGCUCGGUAGCUACGUUCGGGUAGGAUAACCGCUGAAAGCAUCUAAGCGGGAAGCCAAGCCCAAGAUAAGACAACAUCUGCGGAUUCGUCCGCAGAAGAUUUCCUCGAAGAUGACGAGGUUGAUAGGCUGCAGGUGGAAGCGUGGUGACACGUUAAGCCAAGCAGUACUAAUGAAUCUAUUCAACUUUCUGCU
rfam:Candidatus Moranbacteria bacterium RIFCSPHIGHO2_01_FTLL_55_24 rifcsphigho2_01_scaffold_436, whole genome shotgun sequence.